AGAAUCAACGCUGGCGGCGUGCCUAACACAUGCAAGUCGCACGAGAAAGUGGAGCAAUCCACGAGUAAAGUGGCGCACGGGUGAGUAACACGUGAAUGAUCUACCUCCGAGUGGGGAAUAACUGAGAGAAAUCUUAGCUAAUACCGCAUAAUACCCACGGGUCAAAGCAGCAAUGCGCUUGGAGAGGAGUUCGCGGCCGAUUAGCUAGUUGGCGGGGUAAUGGCCCACCAAGGCGAUGAUCGGUAUCCGGCCUGAGAGGGCGCACGGACACACUGGAACUGAAACACGGUCCAGACUCCUACGGGAGGCAGCAGUGGGGAAUUUUGCGCAAUGGGGGAAACCCUGACGCAGCAACGCCGCGUGGAGGAUGAAAUCCCUUGGGAUGUAAACUCCUUUCGAUAGGGAAGAUAAUGACGGUACCUAUAGAAGAAGCCCCGGCUAACUUCGUGCCAGCAGCCGC
rnacentral:rRNA from 1 species